GGGAAAUAAGUUAAAUUGGAAGAACGUUUUUUUUAAACACAAAAUGUUAAAGGUUCAAGUCCUUUUUUGUUCA
rnacentral:tRNA from 1 species